GCCCGGUAGCUAAGUGCGGAAGAGAUAACCGCUGAAAGCAUCUAAGCGGGAAACUUGCCUCGAGAUGAGUCUUCCCUGACCCUUUAAGGGUCCUGAAGGAACGUUUGAGACUAAGACGUUGAUAGGCUGGGUGUGUAAGCGCAGCGAUGCGUUGAGCUGACCAGUACUAAUGAACCGUGAGGCUUAACCUGACAACACCGAAGGUGUUU
rnacentral:rRNA from 1 species